GAUUCCUUUGGAGGAAAUGAAAAUAAGGGGCCAGAAGAAAUUUUCCUGUAUCAUUAAGGAGAUCAUCUAUGGAAGUGACAGAGAACAUUUUAGAGACUUCAUGCCCAAACUACAAUCUUCAUACCACAUGCUCUUGCCUUCUGUAGAUGUCUUAGAAAGGGAAUUCAGGAAAGAUUCUGAUUUUCUGGAGUCAUUAUAAAUGAGGACAGUAACGACCACUUAUGAGGAAUCUGACAACUAUGCAAGUGAAUGAACACAAUAAAGGGUUUCUUUCCAGCA
rnacentral:lncRNA from 1 species